rnacentral:rRNA from 1 species
GAUGAACGCUGGCGGCGUGCCUAAUACAUGCAGGUCGAGCGAACGGACGAGAAGCUUGCUUCUCUGAUGUUAGCGGCGGACGGGUGAGUAACACGUGGAUAACCUACCUAUAAGACUGGGAUAACUUCGGGAAACCGGAGCUAAUACCGGAUAAUAUUUUGAACCGCAUGGUUCAAAAGUGAAAGACGGUCUUGCUGUCACUUAUAGAUGGAUCCGCGCUGCAUUAGCUAGUUGGUAAGGUAACGGCUUACCAAGGCAACGAUGCAUAGCCGACCUGAGAGGGUGAUCGGCCACACUGGAACUGAGAUACGGUCCAGACUCCUACGGGAGGCAGCAGUAGGGAAUCUUCCGCAAUGGGCGAAAGCCUGACGGAGCAACGCCGCGUGAGUGAUGAAGGUCUUCGGAUCGUAAAACUCUGUUAUUAGGGAAGAACAUAUGUGUAAGUAACUGUGCACAUCUUGACGGUACCUAAUCAGAAAGCCACGGCUAACUACGUG